GGUGGUGGGGGAGUAGCCGGGCUAACGCCCGGGUAAUACCGCAUACGGUUCUCGAGGGGAGUCCCUUGGGAAAGAAACCUCCGGGGCACAGAGAGGGGCUCGCGGCCUAUCAGCUAGUUGGGGGGGUAAUGGCCCACCAAGGCGACGACGGGUAGCUGGUCUGAGAGGAUGGCCAGCCACAUUGGGACUGAGAGACGGCCCAG
rnacentral:rRNA from 1 species